rnacentral:rRNA from 1 species
GACGAACGCUGGCGGCGUGCUUAACACAUGCAAGUCGAGCGGUAAGGCCCUUUCGGGGGUACACGAGCGGCGAACGGGUGAGUAACACGUGGGUGACCUGCCCUCAGCUCUGGGAUAAGCCCGGGAAACUAGGGUCUAAUACCGGAUAUGACUCCAUGACGCAUGUUGUGGGGUGGAAAGCCUUGUGCGGCUGAGGAUGGGCCCGCGGCCUAUCAGCUUGUUGGUGGGGUGAUGGCCUACCAAGGCGACGACGGGUAGCCGGCCUGAGAGGGCGACCGGCCACACUGGGACUGAGACACGGCCCAGACUCCUACGGGAGGCAGCAGUGGGGAAUCUUGCGCAAUGGGCGAAAGCCUGACGCAGCGACGCCGCGUGAGGGAUGACGGCCUGGUGUAACU